rnacentral:rRNA from 1 species
CAGCCGCCACGGGAAUACGUAGGGUGCAAGCGUUAAUCGGAAUUACUGGGCGUAAAGCGUGCGCAGGCGGUUAUAUAAGUCAGAUGUGAAAUCCCCGGGCUCAACCUGGGAACUGCAUUUGAGACUGUAUGGCUAGAGUGUGUCAGAGGGGGGUAGAAUUCCACGUGUAGCAGUGAAAUGCGUAGAUAUGUGGAGGAAUACCGAUGGCGAAGGCAGCCCCCUGGGAUAACACUGACGCUCAUGCACGAAAGCGUGGGGAGCAAACAGGAUUAGAUACCCCCGUAGUCCCUGUCUCUUAUAC